CGCGGCCUAUCAGCUUGUUGGUGAGGUAACGGCCCACCAAGGCGACGACGGGUAGCCGGCCUGAGAGGGCGACCGGCCACACUGGGACUGAGAUACGGCCCAGACUCCUACGGGAGGCAGCAGUGGGGAAUAUUGCGCAACGGGCGAAAGCCUGACGCAGCAACGCCGCGUGCGGGAUGAAGGCCUUCGGGUUGUAAACCGCUUUCAGCAGGGACGAAGGGUUACCUUGACGGUACCUGCAGAAGAAGCACCGGCUAACUACGUGCCAGCAGCCGCGGUGAUACGUAGGGUGCGAGCGUUGUCCGGAAUUAUUGGGCGUAAAGAGCUUGUAGGCGGUCUGUUGCGUCGGAAGUGAAAACUCAGGGCUUAACCCUGAGCCGGCUUUCGAUACGGGCAGACUUGAGGGAUGUAGGGGAGAACGGAAUUCCUGGUGGAGCGGUGGAAUGCGCAGAUAUCAGGAGGAACACCAGUGGCGAAGGCGGUUCUCUGGACAUUUCCUGACGCUGAGAAGCGAAAGCGUGGGGAGCAAACAGGCUUAGAUACCCUGGUAGUCCACGCCGUAAACGGUGGGCACUAGGUGUGGGAUCCUUCCACGGAUUCCGUGCCGUAGCUAACGCAUUAAGUGCCCCGCCUGGGGAGUACGG
rnacentral:rRNA from 1 species